rnacentral:lncRNA from 1 species
AGUGGAAUCAGUCACGAAGUGACCCUGGUGGAAUGGAACCAUGCCAGCAAAAGGACUGAGUGGUCUGUUGCUUAUAAAUCAGACAUCACUUUUAUAUCUAAAAUUCAUCACUGAGGUAGGAAGCACAUGAUAAAUUGGUGCCCUGGGACAAUUAGUACGUGUUUCAACAGCUGGGCUACAUCAAAGGCUUCCAUUGCUGACUCUCAAGCUUACACAGUACCGGUCAAAGUACUCAGCAAGUAUAAGAGGAAUGUGCAAAAAGGGCAAUUUAACACCUCUUGGAGUCAGCCACUUGACUUCUGAACAUGAACUCAGCUUUUCAUGUGACUCUUUACUGUGCUUUAUGACUUUAGAAGAGACACACAGUCCUUCCACACAGACAGCUUUAAGUCAUGAUGUCUCCUUUAUUGAUAUCAAAGAUAAAAAGGAGCAAAAUGCAUUCAGAAGAAUCAUACAAAGGUUCUUAUCCAGCAGAGAGACUGAUGGUCUGUCUCUGGUUUCAGGUUGAAACUGAUGCCAGGGAAAGGAAGUCAGUGUAGAAGCAGGCCUGAGUAGGGCUGAGAUGACCUAUAACAACAGUUGCAAAGAAGAGCCCCUACAGCUGCAGAGAAGUCAAAGGUGCUUGCUUUUCAUUUUUUAAAGUUAUUUUAUACUUGUUCACCGCUCCACGAUAAUCAUGCAUUAUUAAAAUGUCAAUGGGAAAUUAGUUAUUAACAUGAAUUCAUUUAAGACGUCGUCAUAAUAUUUUGAAAGACAAUAAUUCAUUCCCAUAUAAUCUCUGCUGCACUUUGUUUGGCACAGAGGUUACCUCUAAAACACUGCUUUACAGUAGAGGCUAGUGCUCUUGGUGUGGCUAAAGUCAGACUCCCCCCCCCC